UACGUAGGGUGCGAGCGUUGUCCGGAUUUACUGGGCGUAAAGGGCGCGUAGGCGGCGUGACAAGUCACUUGUGAAAUCUCCGGGCUUAACUCGGAACGGUCAAGUGAUACUGUCGUGCUAGAGUACAGAAGGGGCAACUGGAAUUCUCGGUGUAGCGGUGAAAUGCGUAGAUAUCGAGAGGAACACCUGCGGCGAAGGCGGCACGCUGGACCUCUUCUGACGCUGAGGCGCGAAAGCCAGGGGAGCAAACGGG
rnacentral:rRNA from 1 species